UCAACUCACAGAGAUUGAGUUCAUAUGACUUAAAUGCAUUAAAGCUAUGGUAUUACUUAUUAUUUCUGAUUCAAAUUAACUUUUUUGUGUCCUUUCUGAUUGUACUCAUGUUUUUAAGUCAAAUCAAUAACAAAUUUAUUGUCUGUGCUCAAAUUACUUAAUAUCGUCAAGUUUUGCCUGUUGCUAAUAGCAACACAUUGGCGCCACCCACAAACCCGCCAGAAAUCCAGUUUUUACCAGUUCUCAGAACACUGUGAGCCAGAAAGAGAAGCUACAGCAGAAGCAUCUUUCACCAGUGGAGUUGUUUGAAGCAAGUUGACCCACGUUUGAAGCCUUCAGUGGACCUGAGCUCGGCGUAAAAAAGGCUGGAGCUGAGCUGAGGUGAAGGUGGCCUGCCAUCACCCAGAUGUGUCAGAGCUGGCUGGCUCUCUGUACUGAACGCCAGGUGUGUCUGGAGUUCUAGAGGCUGGUUGGUAAGAGCCUGAGACAGGAGUUCCACAAGGUCCGUGACCAUUGCAGUCCCAGGCUCAUGGAAAUCUUCAAGGCAAAAAGAGUCCUCACAUGGCAG